rnacentral:rRNA from 1 species
UACGUAGGGUGCGAGCGUUGUCCGGAAUUACUGGGCGUAAAGAGCUCGUAGGUGGUUUGUCGCGUUGUUCGUGAAAACUCACAACUCAAUUGUGGGCGUGCGGGCGAUACGGGCAGACUGGAGGACUGGAGAGGAGACUGGAAUUUACGGUGUAGCGGUGAAAUGCGUAGAUAUCGUAAGGAAGACCAGUGGCGAAGGCGGGUCUCUGGACAGUUCCUGACGCUGAGGCACGAAGGUCAGGGGAGCAAACGGG